UCAGUCAGGACACUGCCCCGGACAUUGUCCUGUGACUCCAUGACUGUCCCGGGACAGUCAGACACUGUCCUGUGACUCCAUGGAGUCAUGGAGUCACAGGACAGUGUCUUGGAGGCACAGGACAGUGUACAGGACAGUGUACAGUCAUGGGACAGUCUUCAGGACCCUACUAACAGGACAGGACAGUUUUUGCUCCCACUGUUUCU